AUUGAACGCUGGCGGCAGGCCUAACACAUGCAAGUCGAACGAGUGGCGGACGGGUGAGUAAUGUCUGGGAAACUGCCUGAUGGAGGGGGAUAACUACUGGAAACGGUAGCUAAUACCGCAUACCAUCGGAUGUGCCCAGAGUGGAUUAGCUAGUAGGUGGGGUAAAGGCUCACCUAGGCGACGAUCCCUAGCUUGUCUGAGAGGAUGACCAGUCACACUGGAACUGCGCCACGGUCCAGACUCCUACGUGAGGCAGCAGUGGGGAAUAGUGCACAUGGGUCGCAAGCCUGAUGCGGCCCAGCCGCUUGUAUGAGGAAGCCCUUCGGGUUGUAAAGUACUUUCAGCGGGGCGGCGUUACCCUCAGAAGAAGCUCCGGCUAACUCCGUGCCAGCAGCCGCGGUAAUUC
rnacentral:rRNA from 1 species